rnacentral:lncRNA from 1 species
CGGGAGGCUCGGUGAAAGUGGGCCUUGCUGGCCUCUGAGUAGUCGGCCAGUUACCUCUGUGCCCUAGUGCUUGUGGCGCGUUCUCUUGUUACACCUGAAUAAAGUCCUUAUCCCUUCGCCCUACGGGCACCUUCAGCUCCCGCCCCCACGUCCCGCUGCACUGUGGACGGGACGCAGCCCCGUUCUUGGAGCUCUACGGCAACCGGGCUGAAACGUACUUUGAAGCAGCCAGAAGUGGGGGCUGAUGGGUCUGUGAGUCUUAAGAGGAGUCAGGACACGAGACUGAAGGACAAGCUGUGGUGGCCCGGGGGUUGGAGAAGAGCUUACCUAGCAGAUGGGAAGGAGUACAUAGGGACACAGAAUCUGCGCUGGGAGCUGAGGACAGCUGGGGUGGGGGUGUUUGGGUCUGUGGAGUGACCGUAGGUGACAUUGGAGGUUAUGAUAGCUCAAGGAAGGCCCUCUGUAGUGCACACCCAAGUCUAGAGAUCUCAUAUGUGAUCAGAUUCACAAUUUGGAAAGAUCGUGGGUAAAAUAUAGAAGGUAGUUGAAUGACG